rnacentral:rRNA from 1 species
UAACGCGUGGGGAAUCUGCCUUUGAGCGGGGGACAACAUUUGGAAACGAAUGCUAAUACCGCAUAAAAACUUUAAACACAAGUUUUAAGUUUGAAAGAUGCAAUUGCAUCACUCAAAGAUGAUCCCGCGUUGUAUUAGCUAGUUGGUGAGGUAAAGGCUCACCAAGGCGAUGAUACAUAGCCGACCUGAGAGGGUGAUCGGCCACAUUGGGACUGAGACACGGCCCAAACUCCUACGGGAGGCAGCAGUAGGGAAUCUUCGGCAAUGGACGAAAGUCUGACCGAGCAACGCCGCGUGAGUGAAGAAGGUUUUCGGAUCGUAAAACUCUGUUGGUAGAGAAGAACGUUGGUGAGAGUGGAAAGCUCAUCAAGUGACGGUAACUACCCAGAAAGGGACGGCUAACUACGUGCCAGCAGCCGCGGUAAUACGUAGGUCCCGAGCGUUGUCCGGAUUUAUUGGGCGUAAAGCGAGCGCAGGUGGUUUAUUAAGUCUGGUGUAAAAGGCAGUGGCUCAACCAUUGUAUGCAUUGGAAACUGGUAGACUUGAGUGCAGGAGAGGAGAGUGGAAUUCCAUGUGUAGCGGUGAAAUGCGUAGAUAUAUGGAGGAACACCGGUGGCGAAAGCGGCUCUCUGGCCUGUAACUGACACUGAGGCUCGAAAGCGUGGGGAGCAAACAGGAUUAGAUACCCUGG